rnacentral:rRNA from 1 species
GACGAACGCUGGCGGCGUGCUUAACACAUGCAAGUCGAACGGAAAGGCCCUGCUUUUGUGGGGUGCUCGAGUGGCGAACGGGUGAGUAACACGUGAGUAACCUGCCCUUGACUUUGGGAUAACUUCAGGAAACUGGGGCUAAUACCGGAUAGGAGCUCCUGCUGCAUGGUGGGGGUCGGAAAGUUUAGGCGGAUGGGGCUGGACUGGCGGCUUAUCAGCUUGUUGGUGGGGUAGUGGCUUACCAAGGCUUUGACGGGUAGCCGGCCUGGGAGGGUGACCGGCCACAUUGGGACUGAGGUACGGCCCAGACGCCUACGGGAGGCAGCAGUGGGGAAUAUUGCACAAUGGGCGGAAGCCUGAUGCAGCAACGCCGCGUGCGGGAUGACGGCCUUCGGGUGGUAAACCGCUUUCGCCUGUGACGAAGCGUGAGUGACGGUAAUGGGUAAAGAAGCACCGGCUAACUACGUG